UCGGUCCAAUGAGCCAUCAAAUCGAAACUUGACUGAGUACACCCAUUUACAAUCAAUAGGUUUGACACCAGAGGGACAAGUCACAAGAUCCCAAGUGUCAUUGUCUUGAAGAGCUUGGAUUUCUUCUUGCAUGGCCUGCUGCCAACAUGCUUGGGUGGCUGCUUGAGUAAAAGAGCGAGGAACAUAAACAGUGUCGAGAGUGGCAGUAAGCGAGGUAUAGGAAGCGUAGAAUCAGAUGACGGAUCAGUGUCUUGAAGAGGCGUUGAAGGAGGAUGUCUAUGAUACACCACACCUGGUUUAAAUCGCUCAAUAGAAGAAGAAGACACAUCAUCAAAAGCGGGUAGAAGAGUAAUAGAAGGAUCAUAAAUAACCUGAGACUGAAAGAAAUAUUGAUUUUCAAAGAAAAUCACAUUUCGGGAGAUCCGGGAUUUGUUCGCAUGAGCAUCAUAACAAACAAAUCCUUUCUGAGUAGGGCUAUAUCCCAUAAAAGCACACAUGACAGACUGGGCAGCAAGCUUGUGACGAUCAACAUGUGGCAGAUGAACAAAACAAACACACCCAAAAGUAUGAAAGGAUUGAUACUCAGGAGAUAUACCAAAUAAUCGAAAAUAGG